rnacentral:snRNA from 1 species
GUGCUCACUUUGACAGACAUUUACUAAAAUUGGAACAAUACAGAGAAGAUUAGCAUGGACCCUGUGCAAGGAUGAAAUAUUACUAAUGUUAGCAGAUACUUGUGCCU